CCUACGGGAGGCAGCAGUGAGGAAUAUUGGUCAAUGGACGAGAGUCUGAACCAGCCAAGUAGCGUGAAGGAUGACUGCCCUAUGGGUUGUAAACUUCUUUUAUAUGGGAAUAAAAUGUUCCACGUGUGGGCUUUUGUAUGUACCAUAUGAAUAAGGAUCGGCUAACUCCGUGCCAGCAGCCGCGGUAAUACGGAGGAUCCGAGCGUUAUCCGGAUUUAUUGGGUUUAAAGGGAGCGUAGGUGGAUUGUUAAGUCAGUUGUGAAAGUUUGCGGCUCAACCGUAAAAUUGCAGUUGAAACUGGCAGUCUUGAGUACAGUAGAGGUGGGCGGAAUGCGCGGUGUAGCGGUGAAAUGCUUAGAUAUCACGAAGAACUCCGAUUGCGAAGGCAGCUCACUGGACUGCAACUGACACUGAGGCUCGAAAGUGUGGGUAUCAAACAGGAUUAGAUACCCUGGUAGUC
rnacentral:rRNA from 1 species